AGAGUUUGAUCCUGGCUCAGAUUGAACGCUGGCGGCAUGCUUUACACAUGCAAGUCGAACGGCAGCAUGGGUGCUUGCACCUGAUGGCGAGUGGCGGACGGGUGAGUAAUGCAUCGGGACGUGUCUGUAAGAGGGGGAUAACUGUUCGAAAGAACAGCUAAUACCGCAUAACAUCCGAGGAAGAAAGCUGGGGACCUUAGGGCCUGGCGCUUACAGGGCGACCGAUGUCUGAUUAGCUAGUUGGUAGGGUAAAAGCCUACCAAGGCGACGAUCAGUAGCUGGUCUGAGAGGACGACCAGCCACACUGGGACUGAGAAACGGCCCAGACUCCUACGGGAGGCGGCAGUGGGGAAUUUUGGACAAUGGGGGCAACCCUGAUCCAGCAAUGCCGCGUGUCUGAAGAAGGCCUUCGGGUUGUAAAGGACUUUUGUUGGGGAGCAAGGUGCACAGGUUAAGAGCUAGUGUACUUGAGAGUACCCAAAGAAUAAGGACCGGCUAACUACGUGCCAGCAGCCGCGGUAAUACGUAGGGUCCAAGCGUUAAUCGGAAUUACUGGGCGUAAAGAGUGCGCAGGCGGCUUUGUAAGCUUGAUGUGAAAUCCCCGGGCUCAACCUGGGAACUGCAUUGAGGACUGCAAGGCUAGAGUGUAGCAGAGGGGGGUAGAAUUCCACGUGUAGCAGUGAAAUGCGUAGAGAUGUGGAGGAAUACCGAUGGCGAAGGCAGCCCCCUGGGUUAACACUGACGCUCAUGCACGAAAGCGUGGGGAGCAAACAGGAUUAGAUACCCUGGUAGUCC
rnacentral:rRNA from 1 species